AUGCUCCAUUCGGCAGCACAUACACUAAAAUUGGAACAAUACAGAGAAGAUUAGUACGGCCCCUGCGCAAGGGUAAAAUGAGUACUUGGUCUCAACAAAAUAGCUGU
ensembl:snRNA U6 U6 spliceosomal RNA